rnacentral:ncRNA from 2 species
CGACGUCUUCAGGGCGGGGUGCAAUUCCCCACCGGCGGUAGGUCGCACGGCCCCGGUCGUGCCACAAGCCCGCGAGCGCUUCCCGACGCCUCAGGCAUCGGCAAGGUCAGCAGAUCCGGUCCAAUGCCGGAGCCGACGGUCAUAGUCCGGAUGAAAGAAGACGGCG